UCCUAUAAGGAAGUAAGAUCCCUGAAAGAUGAUCAGGUUGAUAGGUCUGAGGUGGAAGUGUGGCGACACAUGGAGCUGACAGAUACUAAUCGAUCGAGGACUUAACCUA
rnacentral:rRNA from 1 species